UACGGGGGGGGUAAGCGUUGUUCGGAAUUACUGGGCGUAAAGGGCUCGUAGGCGGCCAACUAAGUCAUACGUGAAAUCCCUCAGCUUAACUGGGGAACUGCGUGUGAUACUGGAUGGCUUGGAUUUGGGAGAGGGAUGCGGAAUUCCAGGUGUAGCGGUGAAAUGCGUAGAUAUCGGAAGGAACAUCAGUGGCGAAAGCGGCUUCCUGGACCAGUACCGACGUUCAGGCACGAAAGCGUGGGGAGCAAACAGG
rnacentral:rRNA from 1 species